GGUUACAUAGUGUAGUAGUUAGCACAUCUGCUUUACACACAGAAAGUCCUGGGUUCACACUCCAGUGGAGCCA
rfam:Pteropus alecto contig86376, whole genome shotgun sequence.